rnacentral:lncRNA from 1 species
UUUAUUAUGGGUUCUAUUUUGGUGCUUGACGGAUAGAUGGUGCAAUUUUAUCAGGAUAUUUGAUGUGGGGAUGUGACUGGUGGAGUUAUUUACAGACUUGCAUCAAUUAGCUUGUUAUGGUACAUGUAUUUUAGGGUUAAUUGGAGGGAGAGAAAUUCCAGUAUUUAUCAGCAAGGUAUAUCACAUAUGCCUUGUUCAGCUGUGGUAUUAUUUGACUUUUGCAAUUUUUGGAUCGAGAAAUUGAUUUUUUCAAAAUUAUUAAUUAGUAGCAAGGAGUGUCAGAUAUUAUACUAGCAGUAUUUGGCGCUAAGUUUUCUGCAUUUUUUAAAUCCAUGAGGUGUAUUCAGGUUCUGAGUUCACUUUUGUGUAUUUCCAGAAUUCUUUCAGUUUGGGAGAGUAUCUACAUUGUUUUUUGGGCAGUGUUUCUCUUUCUUGGUGUCACUGGGCAUGUCGAAUUGCUCUUGAAAUACCAACCCUGCAUCCUUGCCUCUGACGUGAUUCGUCCAUGGGCCUACAGUAUGAAUCACACAAUAACUUGACUCCACAUGCUGACUUUCUCCCUUGAAACUCUCCAUCGUCAUUCUCCUAGCAAUGUCUGUUCAUGUAAGCCAAUAUCACAGAUCCUCAGCCCUCCCACAACUUAAAGUGAUAAAAAAUAAUAUAUAUUUUAAAAUCUGACACUCUUGUCGUACUUCCAAUUGAAGUCCAUGCUUCUACAUUCACUG